rnacentral:lncRNA from 1 species
CAAGUUAAUUGAAUGGAAUUCAGAAUCUCAAAUGUCCACGUAGCUUAGUUUCCUCCUACUUGACACCCCCAAUCCUUCAGCUUCUUCAACCACAAAUUAGCUGAUUUCAUUCUCCUCCCAAACAAUUCAGUCCGCAUUCCCUAGCAAACUUCUAUCUCUCAAAUCCCAAUUUCAAGAACUCUCACAAUCGCUCCAGAAUACCUGCAAGUAUUUAUAAUCUACCAAAUCAACAGUUCAUCUACAACCCAUUCUCAGCCAUAAUUUCGAGAACCCAAAAUCUAUUUAUUUUCCUUCACAAAAGGUAAACUGACUCACAAAUUCAUGCAAUAAUCAGUAAUCGACUUCAUAAAGAACCAUCUUAUUCACAGAGGAUCUUGAAACAGAAAGCAAGAGAAGUAUGGCAUAUAAAUUGACUUUGCAUAUAUAAUGUAUGUCUGCAUAUACACGUGCAUUUUUAUGCAAAUUAGCUAAUCAAAGCUUUUCAAUUUAAUAAGACAAGAAACU